UGAGAAGCAGAAAACUGAUUUGCAUUCCCA
rnacentral:piRNA from 1 species